rnacentral:rRNA from 1 species
AGUCGAGGGGCAGCGGGGGAGUGGCAACACUCCCGCCGGCGACCGGCGUAAAGGUUAGAACACGUAUGAAACCUGCCCGUAGCAGGGGGAUAAGCGGAAGAAAUUCCGUCUAAUACCGCGUAAUAAUCCUUGGGGGCAUCCCUGGGGAUUUAAAGGAGCGAUCCGGCUACGGAUGGUCAUGCGUCGCAUUAGCUAGUUGGCGGGGUAACGGCCCACCAAGGCGACGAUGCGUAGGGGUUCUGAGAGGAAGGUCCCCCACACUGGUACUGAGACACGGACCAGACUCCUACGGGAGGCAGCAGUGAGGAAUAUUGGUCAAUGGCCGCAGGGCUGAACCAGCCAAGUCGCGUGAGGGAAGACGGCCCUACGGGUUGUAAACCUCUUUUGUCAGGGAGCAAAACGCGCCACGCGUGGUGCUUGGAGAGUACCUGAAGAAAAAGCAUCGGCUAACUCCGUGCCAGCAGCCGCGGUAAUACGGAGGAUGCGAGCGUUAUCCGGAUUUAUUGGGUUUAAAGGGUGCGUAGGCGGACGGUCAAGUCAGCGGUAAAAUUGAGAGGCUCAACCUCUUCGAGCCGUUGAAACUGGCCAUCUUGAGUGGGCGAGAAGUAUGCGGAAUGCGUGGUGUAGCGGUGAAAUGCAUAGAUAUCACGCAGAACUCCGAUUGCGAAGGCAGCAUACCGGCGCCCUACUGACGCUGAAGCACGAAAGCGUGGGGAUCAAACAGGAUUAGAUACCCUGGUAGUCCACGCCGUAAACGAUGAAUGCUAAUUGUUCGGGGCAAGUGAGCCCUGAGUGGUACAGCGAAAGCGUUAAGUAUUCCACCUGGGGAGUACGCCGGCAACGGUGAAACUCAAAGGAAUUGACGGGGGCCCGCACAAGCGGAGGAACAUGUGGUUUAAUUCGAUGAUACGCGAGGAACCUUACCCGGGCUCAAACGACACAGGAAUGUUUUUGAAAGGAGGCAGCCCUUCGGGGUCUGUGUCGAGGUGCUGCAUGGUGUCGUCAGCUCGUGCCGUGAGGUGUCGGCUUAAGUGCAUAACGAGCGCAACCCC